rnacentral:rRNA from 1 species
CGAACGGGUGAGUAAUACAUCGGAACGUGUCCGCUCGUGGGGGACAACCAGCCGAAAGGUUGGCUAAUACCGCGUGAGUUCUACGGAAGAAAGAGGGGGACCCGCAAGGGCCUCUCGCGAGCGGAGCGGCCGAUGACUGAUUAGCCUGUUGGUGAGGUAACGGCUCACCAAAGCAACGAUCAGUAGCUGGUCUGAGAGGACGACCAGCCACACUGGGACUGAGACACGGCCCAGACUCCUACGGAAGGCAGCAG